CAAAGGGUGACCACGACUGGCUCAGGUUGGCGACUCCGGCACUAUAGGCGGCCCCAGCUGCGAGGAAGGAGCUGGGCCUUGCUGGGCCGCAUCUCGGGCUGCCCGAUGGCGGUGGCCGAGACUCGAGGACCUUCAACGCGACUGCUGCAGGCCCGCUCCAGAAGCCUUAGGCGGGUCUUUCAGAGGGCGCAGGAAGCGCAGCAGGAGCGGGCAAUGAGGGUUAAGUGACUUGCCCAGGGUCACACAGCUAGGAUAUGAUUUCCCCUGAGGACUGCUUUAGCUGCAUCCAAGAAAUUUUGGAAGCCAGGGCAUCCAGGAGGUGGAAGUGAGGAGGGAGAGCAUUCCAGGCACCUGGGACCAUCAGUGAAAAUGGCCACAGUUGGGAUAUGGAGCACCCUGAGUGAGGAACAGCAACAAGGGCAGCAUCACUGGAUUGGUGGGGAUCUGUUGAUUAUCCUAUGCACUUGAAAUUAAUCACCUUUGUUGGAUAAAAACAUUCAUAAUUGAAUCAGUCAAUCAGAAGUCAGUGAGAAGUGGAUGGACCUGAAGGCCUACUGGAAUCAAUCAAAGCAAGUAUCCAGAGAGCAAAAGACCAGGACUGACACCACCAACUUAACCACCUGCCCUCAAUCUAUCUGCACAAGAUAAGUUAAAGUCAUCCCUGGAGUGUGACCUGGUCAGAUGCGCACUUUAGGAAGAUCACUUUGGCAGCUGAAUGGAGGAUAGUAAGGUAUGGGGGGACUACAGCAAGAAGAUGAGCUGAGGGACCCAGUCAACAGAACGACAGAGAAGCUGAUGAUUCUCUCUCCCUCUCCCUGCCUCUCUCUGCAAGGCCAGCAGAAUCACAACAAUGAGAUGAACAAUUGGGGUGGAGGUGAGGGGUGGGAGGGAAUACUCACUUUCUCUUUUCCAGAGUCAGGCCAGCAGGACCACUGCAACAAGAUAACCAGCUGGGAAAGGGAGACUCCCCUCCCUCUGUCCCCCCUCUUUACCCCCAAUUUUCCCUCUUCUUUCCCCCCUCUGUCUCUCCCUCUCCUGUCCCUCUUCUCCCCCUCUUUUCCUCUCUCUUCCCUCCUCUUGCCCUCUCCCCAGACCCAGCCAGCAAGACUACAGUAAGGAUAUGUCUAGAAAAGAGAUGGGGAAUCAGCACCCCUCCUGGGCCUGACCAGCAGGACAGGGGUGAGUUGAAAUCCUCUCUUUCUUUCCCUGAGCCCAGCCAGCAAACCAAAGAAGAGACUAGAAGACAAGGAAGAAAACUGUCUCUGUCUCUCUUACUGGAGACAAUCAUUGAGGGAGGUAAGAGAGAGGACUUCUCUAGCUCUCUUUCCCUUCCUAAGCACAAUGGCAAUCAAGAAGACAAGCAGAGGAGAGGUAGCAGUGAGUUUCUUUCUGCGCUUUAGCACAAGAUCCAAGAAAUAGAAAUGUCUACAAACUAUGGGAUUAGGGAGACUCACACUAUCUCCAAUUCCUGUCCUUACCCAUUCCCCUCAGAUCUGCUCUUCAUAACCUCAACUGGGCCUGUCCAGGCCAUGAGAAAAUCAGUGGAGAGACCUUUCAACCUCAUUGUGUCUAAAAGGACAGAAGGGGCUGGACAAACUAGCAAGGAGAUAACCAGCUAGAAGAGGAAUAUUCUCUCCCUCUCCCUCUCUUCCUCUCUCCGUGUCUCAUUUUCUCACUGGGCUGAGCCGACAGGACUAUGGUAAAGUGAAAUUCCAAAAAGAGAGAAUCAGGAGAUGCCCCCCUCCUAGGCCUAAAAAACAUGAUGGGGUGGAUAUAGCCCCUCUUUGUUUCCCUGAUCCCAGCUAGCAGGUCCAAGGACAAGAACAAAAGGAGAUGCUGUGUCUCCCUCACCCAGGAAGCAAGACUACUACCAUAAGAAGACAACCAAGAGGGAGGUAAAAAGGAGCUUAUCUCCCCCCCUCAUCUCUUCUAUCUUUACCAUCUCCACAAUCUCCUCUAGCUCUAUCAUCUCUAUCUCCUCCUUCUUCCCUCCCUCCCUCUCCCAUUCUCUCCCUGGAUACAGGUAACAGGACUAUAGAAAAGUGACAUCAAAAGGGGGGGGAGAAAGGAGAUGUCUCCCUGAGCCUAAUAAACAGGGCAGAGAUGGAUAGGGAGUCCCUGUUUAUAUCCUUGAUCCCAGCCAGCAGGUCCAAGGAAAGAUGCAAUUUAGAUCCUCUCUGUCUUCCUGACCCGGGAAACAAAACUACUGCUGCAAGAAGACAAACAGGAAGGAAGUAGAAAGGAGCUUAUCUCUCCUCUUUUUCUCUCUCCAACCAAGAGAUGACCAAUGUGCCAAGAUAGACGACUGACUGUGAAGAGAGUACAGCAAGAAAGCCAAGGAAUGAUGAAUUUAUAAGCUAGUAAGAAGACACUUUCUCUUUUCCAUGCAGGCCCACCUACCAGAACCCUGACUGUGAAGAGCGUAACAGAAGAAAGUUAUGGAGAGACCGUCUUUAUUUGGGGCCCUCUCAGCAGGGUCAGACCAGUAGGAGCAUGGCAAGGAGAUGGGCUGGAAGAGGAAGAUUCUCUCUCUUCCUCUUUCCCCCUUUUGCAGACAACCAGCUGGCAGAAGCUUGACCAGAACACAGGAGAUGAUGGAUGUAUGAGCAAGAGAGAAGAUCCUGUUUUCCUGAGUCAGGCCACUAGGACCACAGCAAGGAGAUGUUGGGUUAAAAGAGGAAGAUUCUCUUUUAUUUCUCUCUUUUUCUUUUAUUUCUUUCCAUCUCUCUGUGUCUCUUCCCCCUCUUCUCAACCCCCAGCCCCAGCAGGUCCAGCUAAAAGAGGCCUGACUCUGAAGAAUAGACCAGAAGAAAGGUAUGGGGAAAGGUGUUGGGCCUAGUUACCCGAUUGGAGCAAAUUAAGGGGUAGGACAGUAUCUCACACUUAUCUGUCUCUCACUUCCUUUAUCCCUCUCUCCCACAAAACUACAGCAAAGAGAUGACCAGUUUGUAACCAAGGGAAAAGACUUUCUCAUUUCCAGCAACCCAUCUGUGGUAUCAUAGCAAGGAGAUAGCUGGCUAGAAGAUGAAGAUAUUCAUUCUCAUUCUCAUUCUCUCCUCCCCUCCCCCCCCCCAUCUCUCAUUCUCUCCCUUAUUCUGUCAUUCUGUCAUUCUCUCCCCGGACCUAGGCAACAGGACUGUAGUAAAGUGAAAUACAAAACACAGAAAGAGAAUCAGGAGAUGUCCCCCUGGACCUGACAAACAGAACAGGCAUCGAUGGAGCUCUUCUUUGUUUCCCUGAUCCCAAACAGCAGAUAAAAGGAUGAUACCCAAAUGAAAUCCUCUGUCUCUCUGGCCUAGGAAGCAAAGACUACUGCUGCAAGAAGACAACCAGGAGGGAGGUAGAGGUAGAGAGGAGCUUGUGUCUCUCCUCUCUCUCUCUCUCUCUCUCUCUCUGAAGACAUGACCAGUUUGUGAGUAAGGGGAGGGGAACAAGGGGAAGACUCUCUUUUUCAGGGUCAGCAAGGAGAAUAUGCCCUGGAAGAGGAAGAUCAUCUUUCUCUUCCUCUUUCUCCUUCUGUGGCACACCCAGCUAGCAGAAGUCUGACUAUGGAGAGAGUGCCAGAACACAGAGAUGAACAAUAUAUGACCAAGGGAGAAGAUUCUCUUUUCCUGAGUCAGGCCAACAGCAAGGAGACGAUUGGCUGGAAGAGGAAGAUUCUCUUUCUUUCCUUUCUUUCUCUCUCUCUCUCUUCUUCCUCUUUCUCUUCUUCUUCCUUUUCCUCUUUCUCUUUUACCCACACAGCAGGUCCAGCUAGUUGAAGCUUGAUUCUGAAGAGAGUAUCAGAAGACAGUACUGCAAAGAGAUGACCAGUCUGUAACAAAGGAAGAAGACUCUAUGAUGGUAUGGUGAUGAAGACCACAGCAAGGAGAUAAAUGGCCAGAAGAGGAAGAUUCACAAAGAUAGAAGAGAAAAGUCAGGAAGUUGCCUGAGAUAUCCCCAGUUACCUAUAAAACAACUGUAAAUUUCACCUCUAAAUGAAUUCUGGAGUUAUAUAACCGAAAAAAGAUGGGGUGAAACAAUUUUCCAGCUCAAGAUAACUUAGAAGCACUAUAGGAAAGUACUCUCUCACUUGUGUAAAUGGGAACAUAGCUCAGCACAGGCGGCGUCACAGCAAGCUAGCAGGAAGUUCCUAGCCCCAGCAACCAUGCCCCUGUCAUACUGACUCAGCAGGCCAAGGGACAGCAGAAUGGCUGUAAGGCCUCCAGCCCCAGCACAGCAGACAAACUUCCAGCCCCAGAACCCCAGGUACAACAGGUGUGACUGGGCCAGGCCACACCAGCUCAGUUUGUAAGCCACCUUCCCUUGAGGCUACAGCGCAGAAACCCAGUGACCAGACUCCUUGCCUCCUGUGUUAGAAACUUGGAAUAGUACCCCUUUUAUCCCAGGAGCAGAGCCCAACUUUAAAAGUCAUGAAAUAGACUGGAAAAUGAGCAAAAAGAAAAAGAAAAGCCCUGCCAUAGAAAAGUACUAUGGUGACUAGGAAAAAUAAAAACACAAACUCAUAAGUGGGCAGCAAUGUCAAAAUGCCUACAUACAAAGCCUUAAAGAGGAAUAUGAAUUGGUCUCAGCUAAAAUUAUUUUUAAAAUGAAAUAGAGAAAAAAAUUUGGGAAAAUGAGCAUGAUGCAAGUGAAUCAUGAAAAAAAAAGAGUCAACAGCUUAGAAAAAGAAAACUUCUAAGAAAGUAGAAUUGGCCAAAUGGAAAAGGAGCUACAAAAUCUCACUUAAGAAGAUACUUCCUUAAAAAUAAUAAUUGGGCAAGUGGAAGCUAAUGAGACAUCAGGAAACAAUAAAACAAACUAAAAAAGUGAAAAAUGUGAAAUGUAUCCUUGGAAAAACAACUGACCUAGAAAAUAGAU